UACGAAGGGGGCUAGCGUUGCUCGGAAUCACUGGGCGUAAAGGGUGCGUAGGCGGGUCUUUAAGUCAGGGGUGAAAUCCUGGAGCUCAACUCCAGAACUGCCUUUGAUACUGAGGAUCUUGAGUUCGGGAGAGGUGAGUGGAACUGCGAAUGUAGAGGUGAAAUUCGUAGAUAUUCGCAAGAACACCAGUGGCGAAGGCGGCUCACUGGCCCGAUACUGACGCUGAGGCACGAAAGCGUGGGGAGCAAACAGG
rnacentral:rRNA from 1 species